CCGUGGCACUUCUCCGAGCGACAACGGAGCAGCCGUCGUCGCUACGUUCGAUCUUCGGCAGUUAUAUUCACCAGGUGCGAUUCUAGCUUGCGAGGGUGGCGCGGCUAUUAAAUCAACUAAUUGGCAAUGUUAACUGUUUUAGACUGAUUGGCAAGAGAAGGCCGCUGCCACAUUGGGUCGUCGUCGUGACGGAAGCGGAGAGGACUGGGCGGGGCGAUUGUAGCUUUAGGCUUAGCUAACACCAGGAAGGGUAGCUCACGCUGCGCAGGCUCCAGCUGGCAGGGGUCCUCUCUCGUUUGCGACACGGACAUCGGCCCAUUCCGAGUGCUAUUGCUUCCCGGUCACAAUUUUGCGUGUCGGCGCGCGCAAAAUUCGCGUGUCGGCACGCGCGAAAUGUGGAAGUAAAUUGCACCCGGAAUUAAUUAGCUUCAGGUUUCUUCCAGCGAAACAGAAGAAGAACGGACGUUGCCUACGGUCUGCAGCGCGGCGCGCUGCGGCGAAGACGGAGGUGGGUGGCCAAAUUUGUUUUGUCUUCCGUGUGUUCUCGUCCCUAUUGCUGUGUCAUGGCGUGCUUUCGUCGCUCGACAAGCCAACCAUCGUGGACUAGUCCCAUCGCCCACUCCAGCGCGAUGAUGCUCGGUGAGUACGUGCUAUCUGGUUAUCUUCGUCAUUUAACAAGUGCCCCUCCCCCCUUUUUUAUGUUUCAGAUCUGCAACCUGUGCCUUCGCCCCUGGCAUAUGUUCCUGCACCCGGCCGUGUCUCGCACAGAUCACGCUCAGCAACCGUCUGUCGUCCAGCAGCUGAUCGUGUCUUCACUUCUGUUCCUGCCUCGCUGCUAUUAUUGUCCUGCUGAAUAAAGAUGCCUGCAAUCUCCGUGCUGCAGUACGUCGACUGCACUCUGCAUCUUUUGGUGCCAGACGCAUGCGACGGAUUUUCCUGCACCUGGCCGUGUCUCGCGCAGAUGUCAGCACCUCUCGUCCCACGGCUCAUCGUGUUCCUGCCUUACUGCUGUUGGUGCCCUGGUGAAUGAAGAUCUCUGCAAUCCCCGCCCUGCAGAAAGUCCACUACACUCUGCAACCCUUGUCUCGACAUCUGCCGCCCAUCAAGGUCUGUCCCACCAGUGUGCUAGGCAAUGGCACCAAGUGCAGACCGUAGGGAGGCAGGCGUCGCCACUCAUCGCAUUGCUGCUCCCGAAAACGUCCUGCUGCAGGAAACGUUCUUCGCUGCCUCGACGAGGCCACACAACUAUGAAGUCCCGAGAAACAGCGCGACGUUGCGUGGCAUGAAUGCUCAUCUAACAUCCCAGUUCGAGUUGUUCGUUCCACCCUAUAGGAGAUGACGGCCACUUGAUGAAGUCGCAUGUUAUUCAGUGGCUGUGGCCGUAUGAUGUGGGUACCAAAACAUCCCAGGUAACACGCUGUUCUAGCUCAUCGUCGUGGUACACUGCUCAGACUCUAGCAUUGGAUUGAUCUGGGGAUUCUUGCUGCUUACGUUCAUUGACAUUCUGUGCUUUUGUAAUGGUACACCGAUGCUGCUUUGCGUUUCCGAAUUGUGUGCACAUGCAUUCGUGUGUGUGUGUGUGCGCGCGCAUUUGUGUGAG